GCUCCACCUGAGAGCAGAGGAGAGAGAGGGAGCGCGUUCACGCGGCGAGCAGGCGACCCGCCUCACAUGACGCACGCGCCACACACCGUCAAGCUGCUGGAGGUCCCGUCCGCGGACUCCCCGUCGGACGCCGCCGCCUCAUCCUUCCCGUUCUCCGCCAUCAUCCCGGUUCCUGCUGCGCCGCGCACGCGGCGUUACGGCCGAGUGUGAGCUGGCUCUGUCCAGGAAAACGUCUGAGUGGAAACCAGUGGAAGAAACCCAGCGUGACCUCUGUAACCAUGUCAGAAAUAAAGAGCUGUCCUUCAAACAA